rnacentral:rRNA from 1 species
GGGACACGUGGUAUCCUGUCUGAAUAUGGGGGGACCAUCCUCCAAGGCUAAAUACUCCUGACUGACCGAUAGUGAACCAGUACCGUGAGGGAAAGGCGAAAAGAACCCCGGCGAGGGGAGUGAAAAAGAACCUGAAACCGUGUACGUACAAGCAGUGGGAGCACGCUUAGGCGUGUGACUGCGUACCUUUUGUAUAAUGGGUCAGCGACUUAUAUUCUGUAGCAAGGUUAACCGAAUAGGGGAGCCGAAGGGAAACCGAGUCUUAACUGGGCGUUAAGUUGCAGGGUAUAGACCCGAAACCCGGUGAUCUAGCCAUGGGCAGGUUGAAGGUUGGGUAACACUAACUGGAGGACCGAACCGACUAAUGUUGAAAAAUUAGCGGAUGACUUGUGGCUGGGGGUGAAAGGCCAAUCAAACCGGGAGAUAGCUGGUUCUCCCCGAAAGCUAUUUAGGUAGCGCCUCGUGAAUUCAUCUCCGGGGGUAGAGCACUGUUUCGGCAAGGGGGUCAUCCCGACUUACCAACCCGAUGCAAACUGCGAAUACCGGAGAAUGUUAUCACGGGAGACACACGGCGGGUGCUAACGUCCGUCGUGAAGAGGGAAACAACCCAGACCGCCAGCUAAGGUCCCAAAGUCAUGGUUAAGUGGGAAACGAUGUGGGAAGGCCCAGACAGCCAGGAUGUUGGCUUAGAAGCAGCCAUCAUUUAAAGAAAGCGUAAUAGCUCACUGGUCGAGUCGGCCUGCGCGGAAGAUGUAACGGGGCUAAACCAUGCACCGAAGCUGCGGCAGCGACACUAUGUGUUGUUGGGUAGGGGAGCGUUCUGUAAGCCUGUGAAGGUGUGCUGUGAGGCAUGCUGGAGGUAUCAGAAGUGCGAAUGCUGACAUAAGUAACGAUAAAGCGGGUGAAAAGCCCGCUCGCCGGA